CAGUAGCCGCGGGAAUACGAAGGGGGCUAGCGUUGCUCGGAAUGACUGGGCGUAAAGGGCGCGUAGGCGGUUUGUCGAGUUAGAUGUGAAAUUCCCGGGCUUAACCUGGGGACUGCAUUUGAUACUGGCAGGCUUGAGUGUGGAAGAGGGUCGUGGAAUUCCCAGUGUAGAGGUGAAAUUCGUAGAUAUUGGGAAGAACACCGGUGGCGAAGGCGGCGACCUGGUCCAUAACUGACGCUGAGGCGCGAAAGCGUGGGGAGCAAACAGGAUUAGAUACCCGCGUAGUCCCUGUCUCUUAUAC
rnacentral:rRNA from 1 species